UACAGAGGUCUCAAGCGUUGUUCGGAUUCAUUGGGCGUACAGGGUGUGUAGGUGGCGCGCUAAGUCGGGUGUGAAAUUUCGGAGCUUAACUCCGAAACUGCAUUCGAUACUGGCGUGCUUGAGGACUGGAGAGGAGACUGGAAUUCAUGGUGUAGCAGUGAAAUGCGUAGAGAUCAUGAGGAAGACCAGUGGCGAAGGCGGGUCUCUGGACAGUUCCUGACACUGAGACACGAAGGCCAGGGGAGCAAACGGG
rnacentral:rRNA from 1 species